GUGGGGAAUCUUCCGCAAUGGACGAAAGUCUGACGGAGCAACGCCGCGUGAAGGAAGAAGGUUUUCGGAUCGUAAACUUCUAUCCUUGGUGAAGAUAAUGACGGUAGCCAAGAAGGAAGCCCCGGCUAACUACGUGCAAGCAGCCGCGGUAAUACGUAGGGGGCAAGCGUUGUCCGGAAUGAUUGGGCGUAAAGGGCGCGUAGGCGGCCUGGUAAGUCUGGAGUGAAAGUCCUGCUUUUAAGGUGGGAAUUGCUUUGGAUACUGUCGGGCUUGAGUGCAGGAGAGGUAAGCGGAAUUCCCGGUGUAGCGGUGAAAUGCGUAGAGAUCGGGAGGAACACCAGUGGCGAAGGCGGCUUACUGGACUGUAACUGACGCUGAGGCGCGAAAGUGUGGGGAGCAAACAGGAUUAGAUACCCCAGUAGUCC
rnacentral:rRNA from 1 species